GAUGAACGCUGGCGGCGUGCCUAAUACAUGCAAGUCGAGCGAACAGACGAGGAGCUUGCUCCUCUGACGUUAGCGGCGGACGGGUGAGUAACACGUGGAUAACCUACCUAUAAGACUGGGAUAACUUCGGGAAACCGGAGCUAAUACCGGAUAAUAUAUUGAACCGCAUGGUUCAAUAGUGAAAGACGGUUUUGCUGUCACUUAUAGAUGGAUCCGCGCCGCAUUAGCUAGUUGGUAAGGUAACGGCUUACCAAGGCAACGAUGCGUAGCCGACCUGAGAGGGGGAUCGGCCAAACUGGAACUGAGACACGGUCCAGACUCCUACGGGAGGCAGCAGUAGGGAAUCUUCCGCAAUGGGCGAAAGCCUGACGGAGCAACGCCGCGUGAGUGAUGAAGGUCUUCGGAUCGUAAAACUCUGUUAUUAGGGAAGAACAAAUGUGUAAGUAACUAUGCACGUCUUGACGGUACCUAAUCAGAAAGCCACGGCUAACUACGU
rnacentral:rRNA from 1 species